AAUUCCUUUUAAAAACAAAAGCCAAAUAAAGGCUUUUCAGAUAUACAAAAGAUGAAAGAGUUCAUCGCCAGCAGAACUGCACUCCAAGAAAUGUUAAUGGAAGUCUUUCAGGCAAAAGGCAAAUGACACCAGAUGGAAAUAUGGGUUUAUACAAAGGCAUUAAACACACCAGAAAUAAAAGUAACAAAGGUCUCUGCUCAACUGUCAUCAGAAACCUUCCACAACCACCCUAUACAAAAGAACCCUCAUCACCUUCUGUGACUCUCUGUUCCCUUUAACUGCCCUACUUUUACUGUAUGGUACUUACAACUAUCUAAAUAUUAUACAUUUAUUUACUUAAAAAAAUUAUCUGUCUCUGUUUCGCCAAUUACCACCCCUAGAACAUAAGUUUGGUGAGAACAAUAAUUUUCUUCUGUUUUGCUCACAGCUAUAGCCCCAGUGUCCAGAAUAGUAUUAAUAGUAAAUGUUCAAAUGUUUCUGCUAAUAAACAGAUCAGAAAAGCAAAUAUUAUGCCAAGUUCUGAAAAUUUGCUGCAAUAUUCACAGUCAGAUAAAUGGGUCUACAACCAAUGAAGUAAGUUUUAAAAGAAGAAAGUAUACCAACUCAGCAAUUAACAAGGUUUGCAGUAUGCAAGUAGUAAACUGCAAACUAUGGCCAAACUUUCAGUAAAAUAAAGGUGACAUAUCUCUCUCUUUAGUUCUGUAACUAAAUUUAAUAACUAGUUAUGACUUUUUUCCCCUUCUUUCAGAAAUAUCCUGAAAUUCCUGUCUAAAGAUUAAAAGAUAUGUUUAAAUAUACACUUAUCUGUACUGAUAAUUGUAAAAAGUAAUUAUUCUGAGUUAACUGAAAUUCUGAAAAAUGACUAAUUAUGUAUUUAAUGAUUAAAAGAAGAGUGGCUGUACAUAUAUUUGCCUUUGUUAAAUAUUGAUUAAAGGAUUCCUAAUGUGUUUUUACAACAUGUAAUUUUGAGAGCAAAUUGUGUACAGCAGAAAACAUUUGGUAUCAAUAAUUAAUCUGAUUUCUUGACAAACACAGAGCACAAGUCCACUGGUAAACAUUUAAACAACGUAGAGUAAACACAUUCUAGACAUCAUAUAAUUUAUUAUUAAGGGCUCCAGAGUGAUAACUAUUUAAUUAAAAUAAAUCUGGACUAUUCUUUACUUGUAUUACCUAACUACUACACUAAGGUAUUGAUAGUAGUGUAAUGACUUCACACUUAUUUCAAUAUCAAAAGGCACCAAAAAGAAUAUACAUAGCUUAAAAAAUAUUCACUGAACCACCAAAA